rnacentral:antisense_RNA from 1 species
UUUAUCUCGAUAUAUUUAGAGAUACAAGCAAUUAACUUAUUUUUCACUGUUUAGAGUGUUAAAUGUCAAUUACUAAGUUAUAAUCAAACUUUUUUUUUUAAAUAAGUCAUAAACACAAUAUAAGAUUUAUUUUAAAGAAUGAUAACUAUCACAAUAUUAAUUUUGAAUGUGAUUGUUCUUGUGCUUGUGUUAGUUUUGUUAGUACUUGCAGUUAAGAAAAAUUAGGAAACAAACAAACAGAAGGAAAACAUAACAAAAUAAACAUUAAGCUCAAACUUUAGAAUAACAAUCAAAGAAAUUGAAGCAACUCAAUAUUUUCAGUCAAUCCUUGUUGAUAUAGAUCGUCAAACUUAAUCUUUUCGUCACUUCUUGUUUUGUUUCAUAAUUAAUUGAAAUACCAAUAUUCAAAUUUAUAAUUUUGGAAGCCAAUACUUAUAUUCAACUUAAUUAUAAUUUGUCUUCAGCUCAAGCCAUGCUUUCUCUGAUAAAUCUUAUUCUAAGGCUGAAAAGAAAGUGGAAAACAAAGAUAAUGUAACAUUAUUAAUUAUAUUGAACAACCUUCAUUUUGAAGAUAAAUGGAGUAUAUCCUUAGUAAAAGCAUUUCUGACAGCUUCAUUAUUAGAAAGAAGUGCAUUUUGAAUUUCAGUUUGUAAUUCUUCUUCAUUCAUUAGACCAAGAUGAUACUGCCUAACGAAAUUUAAAAGUGAAAAAUAUGAAUCUCUAGGAAGUACUUGGCUAAUUCUAUUCCAAACCCCACUUUUGCUAACUGAGGAUUGAACUAUAUCACUACGAGGGGAAUUUCCAGAUCCCGUUUUUUGGUGACUACUAAUUAAUCCUCCGAUAUCCUCUGUACAGUUUUCGAAGCAUAAUUCGCUAUUAUUAAUUGUAAUAAAGUUGCUUGGAUGAUGAAUUGCUUCAGUAACUAAUAGAUGUGGGAUUUCUUUAAUUUCAACAUUUUCACAUUGUUCUGAUAAUAGAGAUCUGUUGUCAUCUUUAUCAUGAUUUAACUCAUCGUUUCUUUUUUUACCAUAUUCAUGAUUAGAACAAGAAACAUCUCCAUAUUUAGCAAGACACCUCUCCAAUUUAGCAAGU